GAACACGUCCCCCGCGCGCUCUGCCCAUUGGCUCCUGCCGCGCAGAUGGGCGGGGCGAGCGCCGCGGGACCCCGCCAGCGCCUCCCAAUGGCUAGGAAGUCGCUCGAGGGGUGGGGCCACAAACAGUGGCAGGCGGCCAUUGGGGAAGAUGGCCGUCCGUCAGGGCUCGAGGCGGAAACGGCCCGUGGAGUCGGGGGAGGGGCGAAGAGAGCAGCGAAGCCCGACCACGGUCUCCUCGCCUGACUGCAGGAAUGGGAAAAUUGAAGCCCGGGGUGGGGCACGGCGGACGCCGCCCUGCCUGCCUGCAAUGGAAGGAAAAUGAGGCCGGGGGCGCACGGACAACACCGCCGUGCCUGCCUGCAAUGGGGGGGAACUGAGGCCCGGGGCGCACAGAGCAGACUCCGCCGUCAAAGGACGUUCAGGACUGGACGGGCCUCCAUCCCAGCAGCAGAACACUCCAAACUUAUCUCGGAGAAUGCUGAUUCCAAAAAGAGUUGAACAGGGUUGUGGGUGAUAGGGGAACCCCGGGAAAGGUGCCGGAAAACAGGGCCAGCUGGGUGGGGCGAGUGGGGGGAGGGGCAGGCGGAGUCAGGGAGGCCGCGGCAGUCCGGUACCCCAGGCUUUUGGAAGCAUCCAGGAGAUGAUGGGCAUGCCGGGCUUGCUUGUUCCCAGCGUGGAGCAGACGUUCAAUAAAUAGAAGAAAUUAUCCUGAAUAUUGUUUGCUAUACGUCUCGUGCAGAAAAAAGGAUUUUUAAUUGGCAUAAGCCUAAACAGGGAGAAUGACACUUGUUGUUUCCGUAAGUCGAGGUCAGGCCUUUGCUCCCGCCUCUCCGGUCGGUUUUAGCUUGGGCGGAGUCAUGGCAACAGCGUCCAUUUUAGGGCCGCGCGGGCCUGGACGGAGCCCAGAGACCGGGGCUGCCGAGCCAGAGGGCUUUCUCGGAUUAGGGGCGGCUGCCGAUUUUCACGGAGGCCUCCGCCUUGCACUCCUUGGCCCCUUCUUUCGCCGAAGGCCAUCUGAAGCCCAGGAAUGGCUAAUCAGGAGUGUCCCGGUGGAUUUAGGAGAAUCCCCAACGCAUUCCUGUGGAUUUGCUCCCUCCAGGACUCCUGUCGCGCUCCGCUCUGGGUACCACCAGGGGCAGUUGCUCAUCUUUGUUGCCUCGGUUACUGGUGCCAGGGAUGGGCCCUCUUGACAGCAGGGAGGAUGGUUGGAGACAUGGGAGUGUCGCAGCCCAGAGGGAGAAUGUUGGUGGACCCUCCACCAGGUUCCUAGCACGGAUCUAAAUGGUCGCAAUCUAUUAAAAGCCAUUUCUGCUCACUGCC